rnacentral:rRNA from 1 species
CAGCAGUAGCCACGGUAAUACGGAGGGUGCAAGCGUUAAUCGGAAUUACUGGGCGUAAAGCGCACGCAGGCGGUCUGACAAGUUAGAUGUGAAAUCCCCGGGCUUAACCUGGGAACUGCAUUUGAAACUGUCAGGCUGGAGUCUUGUAGAGGGGGGUGGAAUUCCAGGUGUAGCGGUGAAAUGCGUAGAGAUCUGGAGGAAUACCGGUGGCGAAGGCGGCCCCCUGGACAAAGACUGACGCUCAGGUGCGAAAGCGUGGGGAGCAAACAGGAUUAGAUACCCGCGUAGUCCCUGUCUCUUAUAA